rnacentral:rRNA from 1 species
CCUACGGGAGGCUGCAGUGGGGAAUAUUGGACAAUGGGGGGAACCCUGAUCCAGCCAUGCCGCGUGUGUGAAGAAGGCCCUCGGGUUGUAAAGCACUUUCAGUGAGGAAGAACGCCUGGUGGUUAAUACCCAUCAGGAAAGACAUCACUCACAGAAGAAGCACCGGCUAACUCCGUGCCAGCAGCCGCGGUAAUACGGAGGGUGCGAGCGUUAAUCGGAGUUACUGGGCGUAAAGCGCGCGUAGGUGGCUUGAUAAGCCGGUUGUGAAAGCCCCGGGCUCAACCUGGGAACGGCAUCCGGAACUGUCAAGCUAGAGUGCAGGAGAGGAAGGUAGAAUUCCCGGUGUAGCGGUGAAAUGCGUAGAGAUCGGGAGGAAUACCAGUGGCGAAGGCGGCCUUCUGGACUGACACUGACACUGAGGUGCGAAAGCGUGGGUAGCAAACAGGAUUAGAUACCCGUGUAGUC